rnacentral:lncRNA from 1 species
ACAAAAGCAUGAGAUGCUCUGCAGCAACAGUUCUCCAGGGCUGAGAUCAAGUCGUAUCAGGAGAAUGUGCACAAGUUAUCUGCCAGCACUAUACCACUUCGCAGGAGUGGAGAAUCCUCAGGAGUCAUUUAUGUAGAGCGCUGGAAUCUAACUCCCACAGCUGUCUCCUCUCUAAUCCAACGCCCGUCAUUCGCACUGACAGAAGUGAACCUUCAGAAUCCAAGAGUCAUUCGCCAGAAAUGUUACAAGAGCAAAGUGUGCGUUUUAUUAUCCCCCAGAAGGUGCAUGCGGGUGCUGGGGAUAAAACCACGCAGCAGAGCCCCUGCUUGGUGUGCACAAGUCCCCGGGCUCAGGCUCCAGGGAAGAAAUGGGGUGUGGGGACAGAAUUUUCUGUUUCUCUGUCUAACAGUAAUUCUGCCUGUCUGCCCCAAGUGAAUGAAGGUAGGAGUCUCUCACUCUGAAAACAAACAAGAACCUUUCCAGAGAGUUUGAUCAUCUUUUAAGAUUCGGUCCACACCAUCAUCCGCCCAUUUUCAGGAGAAGAAAAGUAAAUAAAGGAGGGAUACUUCACCCUGAAGCAAACAGAGAAGAGCAGCCAGCCUCCCGCGGAAGCUCUUCACAGUCUCCCAGGGAUUUCCAGUCAUGGCCAACAUCUUUGUUACAGGACGGAAUCCAGCAACCACUCGCAACCUUAGCAUAAAGCAGUAGCCAAGUCUUACGGGCUAGUUACGAAUAUCAGAUGUGCGGUGACUAUCCACGGGCUUAGAGUGAGUUGGGCAUAUUUAAGUUAUGAAAGAUGUGUUUAUUUCCCCUGGACCCCAAAUAAAUGUCAGCGACAGCUCCAA